GCAAACUUGGUCAUUUAGAGGAAGUAAAAGUCGUAACAAGGUUUCCGUAGGUGAACCUGCGGAAGGAUCAUUAAUAAAUUUCCAUUCAUAUUCACCCUGUGUGCAGUUUUGUAUGAAAGUUAAUAUCUUUGGAAAGAUAUAGUAAUCUUUUCAAAGAGGUUAUCAUAAUCAAUCUACUUCUUUUUUUUUUUACUGUGAUUAAAAAUAAAUAAAUAUAUAUAAAAACUUUCAACAACGGAUCUCUUGGCUCUCGCAUCGAUGAAGAACGCAGC
rnacentral:misc_RNA from 1 species